UACGAAGGGGGCUAGCGUUGUUCGGAAUUACUGGGCGUAAAGCGCACGUAGGCGGAUUGCUAAGUCAGGGGUGAAAUCCUGGAGCUCAACUCCAGAACUGCCUUUGAUACUGGUGAUCUUGAGACCGGAAGAGGUUAGUGGAACUGCGAGUGUAGAGGUGAAAUUCGUAGAUAUUCGCAAGAACACCAGUGGCGAAGGCGGCUGACUGGCCCGAUACUGACGCUGAGACGCGAAAGCGUGGGGAGCGAACAGG
rnacentral:rRNA from 1 species